UAGGGGAUCUUCCACAAUNGGCGAAAGCCAGACGGAGCAACGCCGCANGAGUGAUGAAGGUCUUCGGAUCGUAANACUCUGUUAUUAGGGAAGAACANACGUGUAAGUAACUGUGCACGUCUUGACGGUACCUAAUCAGANAGCCACGUCUACCACUAGUGAGUGAGUCGUA
rnacentral:rRNA from 1 species